GCUAUAUCUGUUUAUCUUAGACUUAUUAAUAAGUACUGUACUGUAGAUGCAAAAGACAUACUUUGUAGUGGUUUUUUACAUUUUUUGCUAUUCCUGAAUGAAAUGUAAUGACCAUGAAAAAUAAACGUUGUCUAUAUUCAGCAAUGUGGGAAUCCGACUUUGCCAGUUUGAUUUAUAUAAAAAAGUUUGAAAUGCAAAUUAUUUUAAAAUUAGUAAACAGACCAGGUUCGGGAAACGAAAGAAAAACAGAAAAAACAAGCUUCAAAGCCGAACCAGAAACUUUUUUGUUUAAAGUACUUUCGGGUUUAAUGUGUAGGCGGAGCUUAAGGUGACC
rnacentral:lncRNA from 1 species